rnacentral:tRNA from 1 species
GCAUUGAUAGUACAGUGGUGAGCAUAGCUGCCUCCUAAGCAGCUGAUGCAGGUUCAAUUUCUGGCCAAUUGGA